GAGACUUUAGUUUAAAGGUAGAACAUGUGACUUUUAAUCAUUAUCAUAUGGGUUCAAGUCCCAUAAGUCUUA
rnacentral:tRNA from 1 species